AUUGAACGCUGGCGGCAUGCCUUACACAUGCAAGUCGAACGGCAGCACGGGAGCAAUCCUGGUGGCGAGUGGCGAACGGGUGAGUAAUAUAUCGGAACGUGCCCGGUCGUGGGGGAUAACGUAGCGAAAGCUACGCUAAUACCGCAUACGAUCUACGGAUGAAAGCGGGGGAUCGCAAGACCUCGCGCGAUUGGAGCGGCCGAUAUCAGAUUAGGUAGUUGGUGAGGUAAAGGCUCACCAAGCCGACGAUCUGUAGCUGGUCUGAGAGGACGACCAGCCACACUGGGACUGAGACACGGCCCAGACUCCUACGGGAGGCAGCAGUGGGGGAAUUUUGGGACAAUGGGCGCAAGCCUGAUCCAGCAAUGCCGCGUGCAGGAUGAAGGCCUCGGUUGG
rnacentral:rRNA from 1 species